rnacentral:rRNA from 1 species
UAUGACGGGUAUCCGGCCUGAGAGGGUGAUCGGACACACUGGAACUGAGACACGGUCCAGACUCCUACGGGAGGCAGCAGUAGGGAAUAUUGCUCAAUGGGCGAAAGCCUGAAGCAGCAACGCCGCGUGGAGGAUGAAGGUUUUAGGAUUGUAAACUCCUUUUGUUAGAGAAGAUUAUGACGGUAUCUAACGAAUAAGCACCGGCUAACUCCGUGCCAGCAGCCGCGGUUUACGGAGGGUGCAAGCGUUACUCGGAAUCACUGGGCGUAAAGAGUGCGUAGGCGGGAAGGUAAGUCAGAUGUGAAAUCCUGUAGCUUAACUACAGAACUGCAUUUGAAACUACUUUUCUAGAGUGUGGGAUAGGUAGGUGGAAU